GUCGGGAUAGCUCAGCCGGUAGAGCAGA
rnacentral:tRNA from 2 species